rnacentral:rRNA from 1 species
UACGUAGGGAGCAAGCGUUGUUCGGAUUUACUGGGCGUAAAGCGUGCGCAGGCGGUUUUGUAAGCCAGAUGUGAAAGCCCCGGGCUUAACCUGGGAAUGGCAUUUGGGACUGCAAGGCUUGAGUGCGGCAGAGGAGACUGGAAUUCCUGGUGUAGCAGUGAAAUGCGUAGAUAUCAGGAGGAAUACCGAUGGCGAAGGCGGGUCUCUGGGCCGAUACUGACGCUGAGGAGCGAAAGCGUGGGGAGCGAACAGG